AGGUUUAGCAUUGACAAAUAAGUUGUAUCUACGUCCUUAUAUGUCUUUGGUAAACUGCC
rnacentral:precursor_RNA from 1 species